CCUACGGGAGGCAGCAGUGGGGAAUUUUGGACAAUGGACGCAAGUCUGAUCCAGCCAUUCCGCGUGCAGGACGAAGGCCUUCGGGUUGUAAACUGCUUUUGUACGGAACGAAAAAGCUCUUAUUAAUACUAGGAGUCCAUGACGGUACCGUAAGAAUAAGCACCGGCUAACUACGUGCCAGCAGCCGCGGUAAUACGUAGGGUGCAAGCGUUAAUCGGAAUUACUGGGCGUAAAGCGUGCGCAGGCGGUUAUAUAAGACAGAUGUGAAAUCCCCGAGCUUAACUUGGGAACUGCAUUUGUGACUGUAUAGCUAGAGUACGGCAGAGGGGGAUGGAAUUCCGCGUGUAGCAGUGAAAUGCGUAGAUAUGCGGAGGAACACCGAUGGCGAAGGCAAUCCCCUGGGCCUGUACUGACGCUCAUGCACGAAAGCGUGGGGAGCAAACAGGAUUAGAUACCCUGGUAGUCCCGACGACCGUAACCGACUAGUACUACUAGGUUGUUGGUUCGUUCUAC
rnacentral:rRNA from 1 species